AUGGCGCUGGCCACCCCGACAGCCGUGGUGCUGGAGCUGAUGACGAUGGGGCAGCAGUCCGCGGCGCACCUCAGGGAGCUUCUCCGGGCGGCGUCCCCGCCGGUGCAGGCGGAGCACCAGGCGCUCGCCGCGGAGAUCCUCCGCUGCUGCGACCGGGUGAUCGCCGCGGUGAGCGCGGGCGCCACCGAUAAAAAGAGGAAGGCGACGGACCCUGGCGCCACAUCCUGCCAUCUUCCCCUCGCCAUGAUGCCGUCCAAAAGAAGGGUGCGUGGGGCGGAGGCGCACAGAGAGGUCCAUGCCGACACGACGGCGGACGGGUUCGUGUGGAGGAAGUACGGGCAAAAGGACAUCAACGGAAGCAACCACCCGAGGCUCUACUACCGCUGCGCGCUCAGCGGCGAGGGCUGCGCCGCGACCCGGCGGGUGCAGCGGUCGCAGGAGGAGCCCGCGGCGUUCGUGAUCGCCUACUACGGCGAGCACACCUGCGGAGCCGCCUUCUGUCAGCAAAGGGCGGAGCCACUGCCUCCUACCGUCGUCGACUCAGGCUCAAACGCUUGGGGAGUCUUCGGUGCCGUCGACCGGAACAGGGGCUCGCCUCUGCUGCCGUCGCUCGGAGCCGAGCACAAGCACAGCGCCGUGCGCCGUCACGCCGAGGCGCCCGGUGACACGUCGCGGCGAUGGUCGUCGCCGUCGUCCUCCUCGUCCUACUCCUCCGAGGUGGAACUUGGUGCUUCUCCUGUCGAGGGGUUCCUCGAUGGCAACUUCGACUGGGAGUGGGAGACCGUCGUCAACUCGCUCAGCUUCGGCGAUCUGCUUCACUAG
rnacentral:rRNA from 1 species